UACGGAGUGUGCAAGCGUUACUCGGAAUCACUGGGCAUAAAGCGCGCGUAGGCGGGCUUUCAAGUCGGUUGUGAAAUCCCUCAGCUCAACUGAGGAACUGCAUCCGAUACUGUUUGUCUUGAGGACGAGAGGGGAGAGUGGAACUUCUGGUGGAGCGGUGAAAUGCGCAGAUAUCAGGAGGAACACCGGUGGCGAAGGCGGGUCUCUGGGCCGAUACUGACGCUGAGGAGCGAAAGCGUGGGGAGCGAACAGG
rnacentral:rRNA from 1 species